rnacentral:rRNA from 1 species
AGGAUCAUUACCGAGAGAGGUCUAACCGGCCUCAACUCUUCGCCCUCGUUAUACCUUACCUCUGUUUGCUUUGGCGGGCCAUCGGGAGUCGAUUUCCUGUCGUCGGGUGCCGUAGGCUUCUCGCCCGCAUCUGACGAGCGCCCGUCAGAGGAUUCGCAAACACUGUUAGCAGCGUUGUCCGAGCACUCGAAACAAUUGGCAAAACUUUCAACAACGGAUCUCUUGGUUCUGGCAUCGAUGAAGAACGCAGCGAAAUGCGAUAAGUAAUGUGAAUUGCAGAAUUCAGUGAAUCAUCGAAUCUUUGAACGCAUAUUGCGCCCUUCGGUAUUCCGGAGGGCAUGCCUGUUCGAGCGUCAUUGCACACUCAAGCACUGCUUGGUCAUGGACGAAGCCCUUUCGAGGCUUGUNUGAAAUUUAGCGGCUGUCCAGCGAGACCUCAAGCGAAUAAGAUCUAUCCCGCUUGCGAGUGUUUCGGUUGCGAUGCGCCUGAAGCUGUAUUUUUUCCACGAUUGACCUCGGAUCAGGUAGGGAUACCCGCUGAACUUAAGCAUAUCAAUAAGCGGAGGAAAAGAAACCAACAGGGAUUGCCUCAGUAACGGCGAGUGAAGCGGCAACAGCUCAAAUUUGAAAUCUGGCCCUUCCGGGGUUCGAGUUGUAAUUUGCAGAGGGUGUUUCGGGCGAGGCGCCGUCCUAAGUCCCUUGGAACAGGGUGUCCUAGAGGGUGAGAAUCCCGUCUGCGGCCGGUGACCGACCCCAUGUGAAACCCCUUCGACGAGUCGAGUUGUUUGGGAAUGCAGCUCUAAAUGGGUGGUAAAUUUCAUCUAAAGCUAAAUACUGGCCAGAGACCGAUAGCGCACAAGUAGAGUGAUCGAAAGAUGAAAAGCACUUUGGAAAGAGAGUUAAAAAGUACGUGAAAUUGUUGAAAGGGAAGCGCUUGCAACCAGACCUGUCGUCGGGUGAUCAGCCGCCGUUCUCGGCGGUGCACGCGCCCGCUCGCAGGCCAGCAUCGGUUCGGGCGGCCGGAUAAAGGCUUCGGGAACGUAGCUCCUCCCGGGGAGUGUUAUAGCCCGAGGUGCAAUGCGGUCAGCCUGGACCGAGGAUCGCGCUUCGGCUCGGAUGCUGGCGUAAUGGUUGUAAGCGGCCCGUCUUGAAACACGGACCAAGGAGUAGACCAUCCACGCGAGUGUUUGGGUGUUAAACCCAUGCGCGGAAUGAAAGUGAACGUAGGUGAGACCCCCUCGAGGGUGCAUCAUCGACCGAUCCAGAUGUCUUCGGAUGGAUUUGAGUACGAGCGAGGACGGUUUGACCCGAAAGAUGGUGAACUAUGCCUGAAUAGGGUGAAGCCAGAGGAAACUCUGGUGGAGGCUCGCAGCGGUUCUGACGUGCAAAUCGAUCGUC